rnacentral:rRNA from 1 species
GUCCACGCCCUAAACUAUGGAUGCUAGCAGUUUCGAGUAUCGACCCUCGAAGUUGCGAAGCUAACGCGUUAAGCAUCCCGCCUGUGGAGUACGAGCGCAAGCUUAAAACAUAAAGGAAUUGACGGGGACCCCGCACAAGCGGUGUAGCGUGUUGUUUAAUUCGAUGGUAAGCGAAGAACCUUACCCAGACUUGACUUCUUUGGAAUUUUUUACGAAAGUAAAUUGUGCCUUCGGGAACCAAAAGACAGGUGUUGCAUGGCCGUCGU